CUACGGGGUGCAGUAGUGAGGAAUAUUGCACAAUGGGGGGAACCCUGAUGCAGCAACGCCGCGUGGAGGAUGACGCAUUUCGGUGUGUAAACUCCUUUUAUAUGUCAAGAAAAUGACGGUAGCAUAUGAAUAAGCACCGGCUAACUCCGUGCCAGCAGCCGCGGUAAUACGGAGGGUGCAAGCAUUACUCGGAAUCACUGGGCGUAAAGGACGCGUAGGCGGGUUGGAAAGUCAGGUGUGAAAUCCUACAGCUUAACUGUAGAACUGCACUUGAAACUUCUAAUCUAGAGUAUGGGAGGGGGAGAUGGAAUUAGUGGUGUAGGGGUAAAAUCCGUAGAUAUCACUAGGAAUACCUAAAGCGAAGGCGAUCUCCUGGAACAUUACUGACGCUAAGGCGUGAAAGCGUGGGGAGCAAACAGGAUUAGAUACCCUAGUAGUC
rnacentral:rRNA from 1 species